UCCAUGCAGUGGAACGAUGCUAGCAUUCUAUGCGUAUAGGCUAAUAGUCGGUGAAAGCACAGAAGGUUCAAGUUUGGAUGAAAGCCCAGAAAAAUAACAAGAAGCUAAAUGAGGAUUGCUCCUGAGUUAUGGAUAUAUACUGCAUUUGGCGGUUGGAAGAAAUCAAAAUGGUGCUGUAUUAGUUCAUAAUAUAUUUUGAUAUUUUAGAUUUUUUUUGUUCUGUUUCUGUCAGUUCAUGCUAUAUAUGCUUGUAGAUUCAGAAAUUCUUGAGAAAUUGCUCUUAUGGUACAGUUGUUUGUUCUUACUUUGGGAUCAAAUUACACUAAUAAUUGCAGUAGAGAUUUUAGUAAGAAGUUCUAAGUGCCUUCAUGUUUGAGCU